AUGUCGAGCGAGGUUGAUAGGCAAAUUGUUGCUCCAUCCUCCGCACCAAGCCCAUCAGUUUUGGACUGGGAACUCCAGGCGGCCGUCGACUCUAUGAAUACUAAAUCGGCCCCAGAGUACUUUCCGAAUUGCUGGAAAAUUGCAAAAGUCGUCAUUAUUGGCAAGCCAAACCAACCAUCAUACGAAUGUCUCAGUAGUUUCCGCCCAAUAAGCAUUCAUCCGAUCUUGGUCUAUUGCUUGGAAGAUAUUCCUGCUGCUCAAGCAAAUCGAUUUGAAUUUGGAAAAGGAUAUGAUGUAUCCUUUUUCCAAGAUAUCAGGGAAAAAUAUCAAGGAAGAAAGAACAACAAUCGAAGGAGAACUCAACAUCCAACCCUUGUUCAAGGCGUUCCAAGAUAUCCCACCCGCCCAGCACUUUGGUUGGAUUUCAAGAAGCACAAAGGGACCUGCAGCUCGAGGCGUACUUCUAUACAUGAUAUAAAAACAAAAACAGCUAUAGAAGAUGGCAUGGAUCAUUUUACACUGUCAGCAUCCAAAAACACAAAGGAGUGGUCUACUGAUGUUGGUGGGUAUGAAAACCUUGCCAAUGAAUUCAUGCAAACUCCUGAGUGCCAUGCUGCAGUAGAUACAUGGACUAGCAUUGUAAGAAAACACCAAUUGGCGAGAGAGAAAGAUCCAGAAUGGAUUGCCCACCACAAGGAAAGCGAGAUCCAACGCAAAAAAAACGCGUGGAAACAAUUUAUGGCAAAUCUUUAGGUCGUUCGACUUCAAUACGGACGGAGGCCGCAACUGCAAUUGCCAGUUAUCAAAAUAAUGGAUUCGAAAUGAUCAGAGACUUAGAUGGAGAUGUGGCCCGAUUUAGUACCCCUUCUCCUAACGAACAUGAUGUAUUGCUAGAAAGUCGUGAUCCUGGUCAUCAACAAGUAUUGCCUGAUGUUCAUGAAGGGAGUGAGCAGUCUGUUUCAAAUAUUACUACGCGACCGAUGGCAACUUGUGUAGCUAUCUAUGGGUGUGAUUCAUCGAGACCGAAUUUCAGUAGUCCAAGUGGUGAGCUAGUUGGACCAACUACCACCACAGUUCCAAAUGCUUCAGGAAGCGAUGGUUACGCUUCUGCUCGCGGCAAUGUUCCACGAAAUUAACCCGCUCUAAUGCUGAUACCUACUUUAUCAUCGACCUCGUCUGAUUCUACCCAAAUUCCUUCCGCUUCUGCCAAGCCUGGGAGAUGCCCUCCAAGUGGCCGUGGUAUCACUGGCAGCGCAAAAGGACGCAAUGGCUCGAAAAUCCUUGGUAGUUCUGCGGAGCGCCCAAUUGUGCACCCGUUAAGUGGUAUUAGUAGUAUAGGUACAGAAAAUAAUGCUAGCUCUCAGCAGGCAAGAAACAUGUUUAUUGUAGCCUACUGCUACCAGUCGACGUACUAGGCCCUGAAACCUAAUUCCAA